GACGAACGCUGGCGGCGUGCCUAAUACAUGCAAGUUGAGCGCUGAAGGUUGGUACUUGUACCAACUGGAUGAGCAGCGAACGGGUGAGUAACGCGUGGGGAAUCUGCCUUUGAGCGGGGUACAACAUUUGGAAACGAAUGCUAAUACCGCAUAAAAACUUUAAACACAAGUUUUAAGUUUGAAAUAUGCAAUUGCAUCACUCAAAGAUGAUCCCGCGUUGUAUUAGCUAGUUGGUGAGGUAAAGGCGCACCAAGGCGAUGAUACAUAGCCGACCUGAGAGGGUGAUCGGCCACAUUGGGACUGAGACACGGCCCAAACUCCUACGGGAGGCAGCCGUACGGAAUCUUCGGCAAUGGACGAAAGUCUGACCGCGCAACGCCGCGUGAGUGAACAAGGUUUUCGGAUCGUAAAACUCUGUUGGUAGAGAAGAACGUUGGUGAGAGUGUAAAGCUCAGCAAGUGACGGUAACUACCCAGAAAGGGACGGCUAACUACGUG
rnacentral:rRNA from 1 species